ACGCGAAGAACCUUACCCAGGCUUGAACAGCGAGUGACCACCUACGAAAGUAGGCUUCCGCAAGGACACUCGUAGAGGUGCUGCAUGGCUGUCGUCAGCUCGUGUCGUGAGAUGUUGGGUUAAGUCCCGCAACGAGCGCAACCCUUGUUUGCUGUUGCCAUCAGGUUAUGCUGGGCACUCUGCAAAGACUGCCGGUGAUAAACCGGAGGAAGGUGGGGAUGACGUCAAGUCAGCAUGGCCUUUAUGUCUGGGGCUACACACGUGCUACAAUGGCCGGUACAAACCGUCGCGAGCCCGCGAGGGGGAGCUAAUCGGAGAAAGCCGGUCUCAGUUCGGAUAGCAGGCUGCAACUCGCCUGCUUGAAGUUGGAAUCGCUAGUAAUCGCGGAUCAGCACGCCGCGGUGAAUACGUUCCCGGGCUUGUA
rnacentral:rRNA from 1 species